GUCUACAGCCAUGCUACCCUGAACAAACCUGAUCCUGUCUGAUCUCAGAAGCUAAGCAGGGUCAGACCUGGUUAGUACUUGGAUGGGAGACCGCCUAGGAAGACCAGGGGCUGUAGGCA
rnacentral:rRNA from 1 species